ensembl:lncRNA
CACAGAUUACACAAUUAAAGGAACUAGGUUCCUCUUUUGGUUAAAAUAAUACACCACACAUAGAAUUUUUUUUUUUUUUUACACAUUUAUUACAUACAUAAGGAGGGUAAUGAGUGACUGCAGGUAAUGUAUGAAGUGUGAAUGAGACGUGUGAACAAGGUGACAACCAACUAGCACCCCUAUCAGGAAGCUCUAGGCAAGGUUACCCGCCAGACUCCGGUUUGGUAGAAGCUUGGUAACACCUGAAGGGAUAUUUCAGUGCUGACUCACCUUUAAAGCAGCGCCCCAGCUGAUUAGUGCCUAACAGAGGCAGAAACCCAGCUGGCCCAAAUUCUCCUUUAAAAUCAAUAAAAGAACACUCCUCCAUUGACAGUAAAAUGGAUGGAGAAUUAGAUCGAGAAACUAAUGAUGAUGGUUGGGGUCCCGGUGUUAUUCUUAGCACAUUGGGAGAACAAUUAACAUGUGUUGAGACAGUCAUCAACUCCACACACCAGCCUAAAGAAGCAAAAAAGCAGAAAGAGUCAUUGAGGAAAACAGCUGAAAGAUGCUUUUAAAUUAGUCAAAAAGUUAGGGGUAACCUCUUCUGGCAUAUGUCUAUGCGGGCCCGUGUGUAAAUAGAACAUAAAUUACCGGUGUGUGUAAAUAAAGUGUAAAAUAGUGGUAUAAACUGUCUGUUGAAUUUCUCCUGAGUGUUGAAAAAAGGAAAAACUCUUUUCUGCUCUCUCUGAGAGAGGGGCUGUGUGUGUGAGACAGGAAGUGUGCAUGCCCAUAGAAGGAAAGAGAUGAGGUAAACUCUGUGCAGAUAGACCGAAGUAAAAAAAAAAAAAAAAAAAAAGGAAAAGGGUCUCUCUCUGUCUCUGUGAGAGAAAAAAGGUGGGGGCCGAGUGAGCCCGCGGGGCCGAGCGGGUCCGCGGGAGCGAGCGUGUAUGCUGUAUGAGGAAGAAGGGAGUGAGAGGGAGCGAGUGAAAAGAGUAAUCGAGUAUUUGGUGAUUUUUUUUUAUUAUUUCAGAGGCACUGGCAGAUCUGCACAUCGGAAAUUACAAGCAUUACACGUCGGCGAGAAAAUUGUUGUAAGUGAGUUUCUCCGCAUUGAAAUGGGUUCUGGAGGAAACACUUGUGGGGACAAUUAGAAACGAGAGUCCCUGUUUA